CAGUCGAGCGGACAGAAGGGAGCUUGCUCCCGGAUGUUUAGCGGCGGACGGGUGAGUAACACGUGGGUAACCUGCCUGUAAGACUGGGAUAACUCCGGGAAACCGGAGCUAAUACCGGAUAGUUCCUUGAACCGCAUGGUUCAAGGAUGAAAGACGGUUUCGGCUGUCACUUACAGAUGGACCCGCGGCGCAUUAGCUAGUUGGUGAGGUAACGGCUCACCAAGGCGACGAUGCGUAGCCGACCUGAGAGGGUGAUCGGCCACACUGGGACUGAGACACGGCCCAGACUCCUACGGGAGGCAGCAGUAGGGAAUCUUCCGCAAUGGACGAAAGUCUGACGGAGCAACGCCGCGUGAGUGAUGAAGGUUUUCGGAUCGUAAAGCUCUGUUGUUAGGGAAGAACAAGUGCAAGAGUAACUGCUUGCACCUUGACGGUACCUAACCAGAAAGCCACGGCUAACUACGUGCCAGCAGCCGCGGUAAUACGUAGGUGGCAAGCGUUGUCCGGAAUUAUUGGG
rnacentral:rRNA from 1 species